GGAGGGAUGCCCGAGCGGCCAAAGGGAUCGGUCUGUAAAACCGACGGCUUCGCCUACGGAGGUUCGAAUCCUCCUCCCUCCA
rnacentral:tRNA from 1 species